rnacentral:rRNA from 1 species
AACGAACGCUGGCGGCAGGCUUAACACAUGCAAGUCGAGCGCCCCGCAAGGGGAGCGGCAGACGGGUGAGUAACGCGUGGGAAUCUACCGAGCCCUACGGAAUAACGCAUGGAAACGUGUGCUAAUACCGUAUACGCCCUUUUGGGGAAAGAUUUCUCGGGGUUUGAUGGGCCCGCGUUGGAUUAGCUAGUUGGUGGGGUAAAGGCCUACCAAGGCGACGAUCCAUAGCUGGUCUGAGAGGAUGAUCAGCCACACUGGGACUGAGACACGGCCCAGACUCCUACGGGAGGCAGCAGUGGGGAAUAUUGGACAAUGGGCGCAAGCCUGAUCCAGCCAUGCCGCGUGAGUGAUGAAGGCCCUAGGGUUGUAAAGCUCUUUCACCGGUGAAGAUAAUGACGGUAACCGGAGAAGAAGCCCCGGCUAACUUCGUGCCAGCAGCCGCGGUAAGAC